UUGCUAAAACUCUGACGUCACGGAUCGCACCUUUCCACGUGUGGCAUGAGGUCGCGCGGAAAGGUUUCUUCCUUCUCUAGUGCAUCAGUGCAGUAUCGUGUUGUUCUCGAGCGCUCUGUUCUCUGCCGCUUCAAACACGUUAACAGGUGGGACGAAAAGAUUUGAACCGGGAAAGUUGAAACAAACACAUAGUCACAAAGGACGUUUGGAGAACACCUGCAAAAAUGUCUCGAACCCCGGAGCACGUGAACAAACUCACCGAGAGCACAUAUAAGAAUGUGAUGGAGCAGUUUAACCCAAGUCUGCGGAAUCUGGUUAACCUGGGCAAGAGCUAUGAGAAAGCAGUGACAGCUAUGACCUUAGCUGGAAAGGCAUAUUUCGAUGGACUCUCAAAGAUUGGGGAAAAUGCUGCCAUAUCACCUGUUUCUAUGGAGAUGGGAGUGGUGUUAAUUGAGAUUUCAGAAGUGCAUAAGAAGGUCCAACUGGAGCUGGAGGAGUCUUUCAAGAGGUUCCACAAAGAGCUCAUUACUGAACUGGAAAGGAAAACUGAUAUGGAUAUCAAGUACAUGAAUGCCACUUUCAAAAGAUACCAGUCAGAACACAAAUUGAAGCAAGACUUCUUGGACAAAUCACAGGCUGACCUGAAGAAGCUGCGCAGGAAAAGUCAAGGGAAGCAUUCGUCUAAGUAUGAGAUCAAAGAAAAUGAGUGUAUGGAGACCAUCUUAUCCCGGCAGACAGACAUGCAGAGGUUUAUUGCAGAAGGAUGUAAGGAAGCUCUGCUGGAAGAGAAAAGGAGGUUUUGCUUCCUAGUGGACAAAUACUGUGCCUUCACCAAUCAGCUAACAGCCUUCCAUGACAAGGCCAAGGAAAUGCUGACCGUCAAACUGCCCAGCUGGCAAGAUAAGUGUACCGAUGCCACCAGGGUGCCCGACACAGUGAUAUUCAUGAUUGAGGGUCUGCGGGCUCCAAUGUCAGUCGUACCAGAGUCCUCGCCUACGUUGGAGCACAGUGACAGGACCAAUUCCGGUUCUAUUGUUCCACCACCGGCCCCAUCACUCAAAGCCCACACAAGGUCUGCAUCUGUGUCCAGUGGCAUGGAUGUGGUGAAGAAGACCAGGGUGCAAACAAUCUUCCCCCAUACAGCAGGGAAUAAUGAGACCCUGCUGAGCUUUGAUGAUGGAGACAUCAUUACACUGCUUAUCCAAGUGGAGCGGGAUGGAUGGCUGUACGGAGAACUAGAACAUACUGGACAACGGGGCUGGUUUCCCUCAUCUUAUUGCCGGGCUUACAAUGACUCAGUGAUCGCAAACAGAAUUGAGAGCCCAUUGCGCAGCCAGAGUGCGACUGAUCCAGAGCAGCCAGAACAAGACGAGGAGGUGGAAGAGCCCAUGCCGCUGCCCCCGCCUUACUACAGUGACUCAUCCAGGGACAGACCCAUCAAGCCCUCCACCCCCUCUCCAAAGAACACGUUCAUGGUCUCCUAAAAUGAUUAGAUUUUCAACGUUUCAACAGCAAAAGCAAGCGUUUCUAGAUUAUCAAGAUUCCUGACGCAUAUGAUGAAGUCAGAGGACACUGCGAUUGUUCCAGGUACUUAGUCGGCAGAUUGAGUGACAGAAUCAUGUGUUGACAUCCUUAUCCAACCAGUCUGACAGGGAAAAUCCACUCUGCACUUUAAGUUCUAAAGAAUGGAAGCACAGUUUAUGCUGAUCACUUUUUAUUCUUAUUUUUGUGUUUGCAACAGGCGUCUUUGCCAAAUGGUAUCUCGAUGCCUCCAUACCUUGGGAGUGGGAAUCCCUUUGCCACAAUCAAAUUACGGCCCACUGUCACAAAUGACAGAUCUACACCCCACAUAUGAUGAGACUGCAUGCAGCCCCUGCCCUUAUGUAAAGUGGUGUCUCAGAGGUUUUGCCUAUGUUGAUUGAUGCAUUGCAGAUAUGGCAGAGGAACCGAAUGAAAGGGUUUUCUGUAACAUCAUCAAUUUUAAUCCUUAAAGUUUCUGAAAAUGAAAACCAGCAGAUUAAAAUUUACAGGAGGCAAUAUUUAUAAGAAUUUUAGACUUUGAUUAAAUUAUUAUUUUAAAUUGUAACGGGAUUCAUACACUUGAGUUUCCAAGAAAAUGCAAAGCACCAAACAGGCUCUUGAAUAGCUAUUUUCUGACCAUAUUGGUCCUCUAUGUUUGAGGCCUUGUAAAGGUAAACCAUAAUCACAAAUGUAUAUUUUAAGAUUGGAGUACUGCAGCCCCUGCUUAGAAACAUGUCACAUAACCGAAUCAUAAUCCAGUGAAGUAGUGGGAGGUUUGCCAGUUGCCAAAUUGUUCUGGGUUAGUAUGGAUUCAAUUUAGGCUUUUUUUUAUAUAUAUAUACAGUAUCAUAGUUUCAUUGUUUUAAAACACUGAUGUAUUCCUUAUCCUUAACACCUUUUUCAUGUUUAAAGGAGGACCAUGUAAAGACACUUAGUUGAAUAGUUUAUUCCUCGUGUUAAAGAUGAGUGUGGUGUGUAGCGUUUAAAUUAUUUUUAGUGGCACAGUUGAAUGUUGGCUUAUUUGGCUUUAGCUGGACAUCAGAUCAAACUCAUGAGCAUUCUUCACUAUGGAAGAGAAAUCUUUGGGUCAUAACUAAAUACAUGAAGUCUUGUAAGCUUGUGUACAUGUUGUCAUGUAGCGGAAACCAUGUAUUCUUUCAUACCUUUUUCUAUUUGUGUUUAUUGAUUCAUUGCCCCUUUUCUUUUCAUACCACAUUACUCCAAAAUAAAGAUUUAUGUCUGUUUUAAA